AAUCAACGCUGGCGGCGUGCCUCAGACAUGCAAGUCGAACGAUUAAAGCUCUCUUCGGAGAGUGUAUAGAGUGGCGCACGGGUGAGUAACACGUAAGUAAUCUACCUUCGAGUGGGGAAUAACGUCCGGAAACGGACGCUAAUACCGCAUAAUGCAGCGGCAUCGCAAGAUGACAGUUGUUAAAGAUUUAUCGCUUGAAGAGGAGCUUGCGGCAGAUUAGCUAGUUGGUAAGGUAACGGCUUACCAAGGCUACGAUCUGUAUCCGGUCUAAGAGGACGGUCGGACACACUGACACUGAAUAACGGGUCAGACUCCUACGGGAGGCAGCAGUCGGGAAUUUUGGGCAAUGGGCGAAAGCCUGACCCAGCAACGCCGCGUGAAGGAUGAAGUAUUUCGGUAUGUAAACUUCGAAAGAAUAGGAAGAAUUAAUGACGGUACUAUUUAUAAGGUCCGGCUAACUACGUGCCAGC
rnacentral:rRNA from 1 species